GACGAACGCUGGCGGCGUGCUUAACACAUGCAAGUCGAACGGAAAGGCCCCUUUGGGGGUCCUCGAGUGGCGAACGGGUGAGUAACACGUGAGUAACCUGCCCUUGACUUCGGGAUAACUUCAGGAAACUGGGGCUAAUACCGGAUAGGAAUCCUUGCUGCAUGGUGGGGGUUGGAAAGCUUCGGCGGUUUUGGAUGGACUCGCGGCUUAUCAGCUUGUUGGUGGGGUAGUGGCUUACCAAGGCUUUGACGGGUAGCCGGCCUGAGAGGGCGACCGGCCACAUUGGGACUGAGAUACGGCCCAGACUCCUACGGGAGGCAGCAGGGGGGAAUAUUGCACAAUGGGCGGAAGCCUGAUGCAGCAACGCCGCGGGCGGGAUGACGGCCUUCGGGUUGUAAACCGCUUUCAGCAGGGGCGAAGCUUGUGGUGACGGUACCUGCAGAAGAAGCACCGGCUAACUACGUG
rnacentral:rRNA from 1 species